GCGACGCCGCGUGAGGGAUGAAGGCCUUCGGGUUGUAAACUUCUUUCAGCAGGGAAGAAGCGCAAGUGACGGUACCUGCAGAAGAAGCGCCGGCUAACUACGUGCCAGCAGCCGCGGUAAUACGUAGGGCGCAAGCGUUGUCCGGAUUUAUUGGGCGUAAAGAGCUCGUAGGCGGUUUGUCGCGUCUGCUGUGAAAACCUGGGGCUUAACUCCGGGCCUGCAGUGGGUACGGGCAGACUAGAGUGCGGUAGGGGAGACUGGAAUUCCUGGUGUAGCGGUGAAAUGCGCAGAUAUCAGGAGGAACACCGGUGGCGAAGGCGGGUCUCUGGGCCGUAACUGACGCUGAGGAGCGAAAGCGUGGGUAGCGAACAGGAUUAGAUACCCUGGUAGUCCACGCCGUAAACGUUGGGCGCUAGGUGUGGGGCUCAUUCCACGAGUUCCGUGCCGCAGCUAACGCAUUAGGCGCCCCGCCUGGGGAGUACGGCCGCAAGGCUAAAACUCAAAGGAAUUGACGG
rnacentral:rRNA from 1 species